rfam:Triticum aestivum genome assembly, contig: Triticum_aestivum_CS42_TGACv1_scaffold_405643_5BL
UUAGUACUCCCUCCGAUCCAUAUUACUUGUCACUCGAACGGAUGUAUCUAGACGUAUUUCAAUGCUAGAUACAUCCGUUUGAGCGACAAGUAAUAUGGAUCAUAGGGAGUAUAAA